UACGUAGGGUGCGAGCGUUGUCCGGAAUUAUUGGGCGUAAAGAGCUUGUAGGUGGUUUGUCGCGUCUGCUGUGAAAAUCCGGGGCUCAACCCCGGACUUGCAGUGGGUACGGGCAGACUAGAGUGUGGUAGGGGAGACUGGAAUUCCUGGUGUAGCGGUGGAAUGCGCAGAUAUCAGGAGGAACACCGAUGGCGAAGGCAGGUCUCUGGGCCAUUACUGACACUGAGACGCGAAAGCGUGGGGAGCAAACAGG
rnacentral:rRNA from 1 species